CGUAGGCAGCGAGCGUUGUUCGGAGUUACUGGGCGUAAAGGGUGUGUAGGCGGUUGUUUAAGUUUGGUGUGAAAUCUCCCGGCUCAACUGGGAGGGUGCGCCGAAUACUGAAUGACUUGGAGUGCGGGAGAGGUGAGUGGAAUUCCUGGUGUAGCGGUGAAAUGCGUAGAUAUCAGGAGGAACACCGGUGGUGUAGACGGCUCACUGGACCGUAACUGACGCUGAGACACGAAAGCGUGGGUAGCAAACAGGAUUAGAUACCCUGGUAGUCCACGCCCUAAACGAUGCAUAUUUGGUGUGGGCAGUUCAUUCUGUCCGUGCCGGAGCUAACGCGUUAAAUAUGCCGCCUGGGGAUACAGUCGCAAGGCUG
rnacentral:rRNA from 1 species